GAUGCAGAUUUUCUGGUGAAAUCUGUAUCACCUGUCUUCAGUGAGAACGGUACAGUGAGGCGUCAAAGAGAGUUGAGAGUGGUGAACUUUCUGCAGGACUUCGUACAGGACAUGGAGGAUGAAGCAGUCCAUAACGGACAAGCAAAAUUACUGGCUCUAGAGAGGACCUUUUAUGGCAUUUGACAGACUCUGUAGUUUCUAAAAGAGAGGAAGAACCAGGCAGAAAUGAAGAAGGCAUGCCUGAAGAGAAGACCAAGGGGUGAUGAUGAAGAUGUUGCCAAUGUGCACAUUAAUGUUGGCACAUUCUGCCAGUGGCUGACAGGACAGUCUCAUAUCCCACUAAGUCAUGCAGAUCGGGAAGCUUUCAAAAUUGUCAUGGAGUUUUACCAUGACUGCCAGGUGCAUUAUGGAACGCAUAGGAUCUGCUAUCCAGUAGUCAAUGCAUGUUCCUACUAAGUCACAUUCCCAAUUGUUCACGUAAGUACAUAUGCUGAAUUCAAAAAUGUAAUCACACAGGCCAUUGUCCAUGGCUAUGAAUUUAGCCGCUGUUAGGAAGGGAAUGCUCAUUGUUAAAUGUGUCACUGUUCAGAUCGAUUUAGACAUUACACUCCUAAGUCUAAUAAGUCGACAAA